GACGAACGCUGGCGGCGUGCUUAACACAUGCAAGUCGAACGGUGAAGCUCCAGCUUGCUGGAGUGGAUCAGUGGCGAACGGGUGAGUAACACGUGAGCAACCUGCCCCUGACUCUGGAAUAAGCGCUGGAAACGGCGUCUAAUACUGGAUACGAGAAGGGUCCGCAUGGGCACUUUCUGGAAAGUUUUUCGGUUGGGGAUGGGCUCGCGGCCUAUCAGCUUGUUGGUGAGGUAAUGGCUCACCAAGGCGACGACGGGUAGCCGGCCUGAGAGAGCGACCGGCCACACUGGGACUGAGACACGGCCCAGACUCCUACGGGAGGCAGCAGUGGGGAAUAUUGCACAAUGGGCGAAAGCCUGAUGCAGCGACGCCGCGUGAGGGAUGACGGCCUUCGGGUUGUAAACCUCUUUCAGCAGGGAAGAAGCGAAAGUGACGGUACCUGCAGAAGAAGCACCGGCUAACUACGUG
rnacentral:rRNA from 1 species